GACGAACGCUGGCGGCGUGCUUAACACAUGCAAGUCGAGCGGUAAGGCCCUUUCGGGGGUACACGAGCGGCGAACGGGUGAGUAACACGUGGGUGACCUGCCCUCAGCUCUGGGAUAAGCCUGGGAAACCGGGUCUAAUACCGGAUAUGACUCCAUGACGCAUGUUGUGGGGUGGAAAGCCUUGUGCGGCUGAGGAUGGGCCCGCGGCCUAUCAGCUUGUUGGUGGGGUGAUGGCCUACCAAGGCGACGACGGGUAGCCGGCCUGAGAGGGCGACCGGCCACACUGGGACUGAGACACGGCCCAGACUCCUACGGGAGGCAGCAGUGGGGAAUCUUGCGCAAGUGGGCGAAAGCCUGACGCAGCGACGCCGCGUGAGGAUGACGC
rnacentral:rRNA from 1 species